GACGAACCGUGCGAACGUUAUUCGGAAUCACUGGGCGUAAAGAGCUCGUAGGUGGUUUGUCGCGUUGUUCGUGAAAACUCACAGCUUAACUGUGGGCGUGCGGGCGAUACGGGGCAGACUGGAGUACUGCAGGGGAGACUGGAAUUCCUGGUGUAGCGGUGGAAAUGCGCAGAUAUCAGGAGGAACACCGGCGGCGAAGGCGGGUCACUGGGCCAGUAACUGACGCUGAGGACGAAAGCGUGGGGAGCAAACAGG
rnacentral:rRNA from 1 species